GAUUGGGUCUGAGCUCUCUCGUUCCGGUUCCUCCCUCCUCACGGCGUCAUGACGGCGUCGACACCGCGGAUCACAACGGAAUCCAUCGAACAUACAGUCUAUCAGGUUUUUCCUUUGUCCCAAAUCUCCUCCUCGUAGAUGUGCAGCGCAGCGCCCCCUUUCCAUCGUAGAACUACCACGCCGCCGGCCGCCGUGCAGCACUCCUCGGUCUCGCCUCCGGCAUGGCCGCCGGGAUGCAAUAGCCCGCCUCGCCUUCGUACUACAACAACCCCCGAGAUGCCACAUGCUCCCUCGCCGGCGGUGGCGGCGGCGCACACGCCGAGAUGGGAGACGGUCGACCUGCUGUCGUCGAUGCCGUCCACGGCCUCGGCCACGACGACCACGGCCAUGCCCGGCGGCCGGGACCACAACCACGACUCCGAGGAAAGAGAUGAUGCACAUUACUCCUUUCUGCAAGUAAAGAAAGGAUAUGUUCUCAUAACAAGGAUGGAAAGUAUAACGUCCUACAAAAACCAAUAUGGACAACACAGAUCUGGUCAAAUGUUUAUGACAUUUAAGCUACCUCUAACAUUUGCUAUAAUACGGAAAAUCCUGGAUCGCUUAAUCUUCAAAACUGUUAAUUCUUUUACAGGAACUCAAGAACAACUUGGUACUCAUGUAGCUGCUAAUGACAUGUGUGCACUGGAUGAAUGGCCAUCCCAUGCUCGCCGCAACCGUGCACAACUAUGGAAUGAAAGUGAUGGACAGAAUAAGAAAGGGCGAGGUGUACUUUUCGUAUUUAGGACAAAGCAUUUAAAGAGGUUCAAAACAAAGAAAAUGAAACUGAAGGUCCAGUUUCCAGUGAACAUAGAAGCAAUAUUUUCCAGACCGCAUAGAAAGGCACUCCGCAAUGCAACUCAUCACAGCCUCAUGGGUAUGGAUACAUGGCCAAACCACCAAGUGGUUCUGAAAAGGAUUAAAUCACAAUUUGAAGAGCAAGCACGUGCUACAGCAGAGAUCCAAAAGGUAAACUCUGAGCUCAGCCAUCAGGUCACCGAAUUACAAGAUCAAUUACAAGCUGAACGUGAAAGCACACAAGAGAGGAUUAACUUCGAGCGUGCUGAGAGAGAAAACCUUGAGGAGAGCUUAAAAGAAGAGCAUGCUGAUAUGGAAAGAUUGUUGGAAGAGGAGCGAAGAUCAACAUUGAAAUUUGAGAAAAACAUGAUGGCAAAGUUUGCACAGUUAUCCCAACAUACACAAACACAUCAGAUGAAUAAGAAAAGGACUAACAAAGAAUUAGUAAUCCAAACUUGCAAAAUACUCUUUUACAGACCGCUAGUACUACUGGGACUCUAGGUACAAGGCACAAUGUAAUUGCUCCCAAUACGCUCAUACAAGCUGCAACAAUUCGAAUGUUUCGAGCAAUGGUAAGUGGAUCCAAAGAUUAACUAGAAUGUACUCUAGACCAUGGACAAUUUACUCUUCACUCUUAAUUAGGUUGGCACAUUCAGUAUGUUGAAUGUGUGCUAAAUUAUAUUUCAGUUUCAUUUGAUGGAUAUUGGCUAUGCAAAUAUUGAUAUUGUAUGAAUGUACAUCAUAUAUGUAUUAUCUGAAUCAUGUAAUUGAAUGCAUGUAUAUUUUUUUUGGUUGCAA